UGGAGCAUAUGAAAGAUUAAAUUUUAGUGCUAAUUAAUUUUAGAUUAGAUUUGAAUUAAUUAAGCUUAAUUGGGUCUAAACUUCUAAGUUAGACUAGGUACAAAAAUCCUAAAGAGUUUGGGAUUGACAGUCUUUCGAAAUUAUUUCGAACCAGCUUCGAAUUAAAUUCGAAUCAGAUCUAUUUUGGAUAAGAUAUGAGGAAUCCUACUUGCACUAAAAUUUUUUUCUCUUAUGG
rnacentral:lncRNA from 1 species